rnacentral:rRNA from 1 species
GACGGAGGAUGCAAGUGUUAUCCGGAAUCACUGGGCGUAAAGCGUCUGUAGGUGGUCAAAUAAGUCAACUGUUAAAUCUUGAGGCUCAACCUCAAAAUCGCAGUCGAAACUAUUCGACUAGAGUAUAAUAGGGGUAAAGGGAAUUUCCAGUGGAGCGGUGAAAUGCGUAGAGAUUGGAAAGAACACCGAUGGCGAAGGCACUUUACUGGGCUAUUACUAACACUGAGAGACGAAAGCUAGGGUAGCAAAUGGG